CCCCCCCCCCCCCCUCUUGGUGUUUUGGUGGGGGCCUAAUCCCCCGCGAGGCAGGGCCCAGCCUCAGUCCAGGUUUCAGCUGUCGGAAAAAGUAGGUUAGCGUGUUCAUUUAGUAUCUCUGCCUUCUGAACAGGGACACAGGGCACAGUUAAAAUGGAGGCUAUAGGGACUUCCAGUACAGUCAGUGCACUUGUUUGUUGAACAGUAAAGGAAAUAAUGCCUAAGGCUUCAGAAUGAUCAGGCCCAAUCAGCAGGUAGCCUCUGUGGACUGGAAAUCUAGCCUUGUUAACACAAUCAAUACUUUAAUUAAGCACAAUCGAGCUGGCCCGGAGUGUGAUGUAGACUGACUGUGGGUCUGGAGGGGUAUAAGGAGGGGCAAUGAAUGGGUUGUUGAAAAUAGAAGUCAAUGGUAAUGGAACCAAUACAUCAGUGACUCCUGAUAGAUACCAUUCACUCCUCAGUGCACAUGAUUGGGAAAUGCAUGCUGGAUAAGAUGUUAGAUGUAAACGGCAUUACAUCAUUGUUACAUCAUUGAAAUGUAUUUUCCAAUGUUAUUGUGAGCAGGGAGGGAGCUCCUACAAUAGUCUUUAGUGUGUAGAGAAGUGAAGUAGAUAAGCUUGGAAAUCUGUGUGUGUGUGUGUGUGUGUAUUUUGGAGGAGGGUAGCAGACUAGUGGUGUGAAAGUGUGUCUUCCAUGCACCCAUCCCCUUACCGCUCAUCACACUUUGAUAAACCUGAAGCUGCUCCCAUUGGUCAGCUGACCUUAGACUUCUACCAUGUUUCUAUUCUUCAUUCACAUAUGUCCCCCUUUCGUUUUUCUUUCUCUGCUGUCUGUAUUGCUCCCUUUCCUCUUUCUCAUGUUUUUGCUCUCUUUAGACUACACAUCCUCUUUCCAGCCCUCCACUCUUUGUCUUGUUCCUCUUCUCCACUUCCCAUCUCACCUCAGAUGUGUCAAGAUGACCCAGUACCGUCUCUAAUCCUUACAGCCUGAGGGAGAGCACUGACCGCAAGAAACACUGGAUGCUAAAAAGACAACUCGCAGCACAAGCUAUUUACCAUCUGGAUGUGUCUGCUAUUUUCAUUGCUGUUGCUAACUGCACUAACAGCAUGGGGCCCCGACCACGUGAUGCAUCAGUUUGGUUGGGGCCAGGCAAACUGCACUCCGUGAUUGUCAAUAACUGACAAUCACUGACACGACUGGAAUUAGAGGAAUGUUAAAUAAGCUUCUCAAAAGCAAGACACUACCAUUUUAUUCCUCGGGAGGAAAUUCCACUUAACAACUCUAACUCAUCACUCAACUAUCUGUCAUAAUGUAUCUUAUCAAAAAAGGGGAAAGCACAUACACAAAGUCAACUCUCUCCCAUUCUAACACCUUUUAAAUGUAUCCAGUCAGUGCUUCUAACAUCAGGAGGCUUAAGAAAUUUGGCUUGGCCCCUAAGACCCUCACAAACUUUUACAGAUUUACAGUUGAGAGCAUCCUGUCAUGCUGUUUCACCGCCUGGUACGGCAACUGCACUGCCUGCAACUGCAGGUCUUUCCAGAGGGUGGUGCGGUCUGCCCAACGCAUCACCGGGGGUACACUGCCUGCCCUCCAGGACAUCUACAGCACUCGAUGUCACAGGAAGGCCCAAAAGAUCAUCAAGGACAUUAACCACUCGAGCCAUGGCCUAUUCACCCCACUACCAUCCAGAAGGCGAGGUCAAUACAAGUGCAUCAGCUACUAUCUCAGGCCAUCAGACUGUUAAAUAGCCAUCACUAGCCGACUACCACCCGGUUACUCAACCCUGCACCUUAGAGCCUGCUGCCCUAUAUACAUAGACGUGGAAUCACUGGUCACUUUAAUAAUGUUUACAUGCCUCCCGGGUGGCGCAGUGGUCUAGGGCACUGCAUCGCAGUGCUAACUGCGCCACCAGAGUCUCUGGGUUCGCGACAAGGCUCUGUCGCAGCCGGCCACGACCGGGAGGUCCGUGGGGCGACGCACAAUUGGCAUAGCGUCGUCCGGGGUAGGGAGGGUUUGGCCGGUAGGGAUAUCCUUGUCUCAUCACGCUCCAGCGACUCCUGUGGCGGGCCGGGCGCAGUGCACGCCAACCAAGGGGGCCAGGUACACGGUGUUUCCUCCGACACAUUGGUGCGGCUGGCUUCCGGGUUGGAGGCGCGCUGUGUUAAGAAGCAGUACGGCUUCGGAGGACGCGUACGGGAGUUGUAGCGAUGAGACAAGGUAGUAAUUACUAGCGAUUGGAUACCACGAAAAUUGGGGAGAAAAUGGGAUAAAAAAUAAAUAAAAAAAAUAAUGUUUACAUACUGUUUUACUCUUUUUAUAUGUAUAUAGUGUAUUCUACUGUAUUUUGGUCAAUGCCACUCCGACAUUGCUCAUCCUAAUAUUUAUAUAUUUCUUAAUUCCAUUCUUUUACAUGUCUGUGUAUUGUUGUGAAUUGUUAGAUACUACUGCACUGUUGGAUCUAGGAACACAAUCAUUUCGCUACACCCGCAAUAACAUCUGCUAAAUAUGUGUAUGUGACCAAUCAAUUUGAUUUGAUUUAUAGUUGUCACUAUCCUAAAACGGGUGUCAAGCUCAUUCCAUGGAGGACCAAGUGUCUGGGUUUUUGUUUUUUCCUUUCAAUUAAGACAUAGACAACCAGGUGAGGGGAAAUCAUUACUAAUUAGUGACCUUAAUUCAUCAAUCAAGUACAAGCGAGGAGCGAAAACCCACUGACACUCGGCCCUCCGCAGAAUGAGUUGGACAUGCCCUAAAACACUUACGUCCUAUCGAUGCUGUAGGGGGGGAGGGGGGGGGGGUAAUUCAACUCUUACCCUACGAGGUCCUGAGCCUGCUAGUUUUCUGUUGUACCUGAUAACUAAUUGCACACACCUGGUGUCCCAGGUCUAACUCAGUCCCUGAUUAGAGGGCAACAAUGAAAAAACGCAGUGGAACUGGCCGAGGUCCAGAGUUCAGUUUAAGGGGUGUAGAGGAUGAUGAAGAUGAACACUUCACAGUAAAGCUUAUCCACUAUAGAACUUCAUACUGUACUAUAGAAACAAAACAAAAAAGGGAUAUAUUUGAGGGUUUUAUGUUGACGUUUCAGCAGCACAAAGGCCUUUCUCUAGACCAGUCACAAUGAACAAUUAUGUGACACAUUGGAAAUAGUGUCAGACCCCCCAUGAAGUCAAACUAAGCUACUGUAAUAAUAUAAUUAAGCCAAUUUAUUAACCCAUUCUUCUGGAAUUAAACGUUGACAGGGUCAUGCAACUGUUGCAGCAAGCAUAGCUAGCUUUCUCUCUUCUUCACAGCUUUGGAGGGUCCAGGGGAAAAAGGUUCUGCAGUAAGAAGGGUUGUUCAGUAGGGAUUAGCAUCUCUUUGUGAUGUAAAUACUCUGUAAACUAUGGCCUAGUUCCCAUGUCCGUACCAAAGACAAUAGAGGGACCAGGAGGUUUUAACACGCAUGCAGGCAGUGUGUGCCAAUCAUCACCGGGCUCCUGUCCACACCAUUGGCAUCCACACGCUUCCAUGCUUAUCCCGCUGUGCUCCCAUGCCCAGGCCCAUCAUGCCAACUAUGAUGUAGUGUUCAACAAAGCAUGUUACAAAUAUCCAUCACAAAGGCCCUGUGAGCCAUAACGAGCACAUUAUUUUACCAGAACGUCAUGCUUUUGCUAAUUUGAAUUGUCCCCCUGCUUGUGAAUGCUUGUAUUGUCUGCCUGCAUCAUUCCAGAUGUGAGCGAUAAAUUACAUUAAUUACAUCUACUUUCAUAGAUGUUGACACACAUGCACGCAGAUACACCCAAAUACACACACACAAUCAAACAGGUCCAGUUAAACUAACACAGCGGUAACAUAACCUUUGACCCGAGUUAGGCAGCAUUAUCCUGACCAUUUGUGUCUUAGUUCAUAUCAGAUUCACUUAUAUGUCCUUGGAGUGAAAUGACAGGUGUAGAUCGACCUAACAGAUACGAUAGAGAAUAGAUGUAAAACUAUCCAUGCAAAAACCAUGCCGUAGCCCUCUCCAGUGAGGCAGGCAGAUAUCUGUUAUCAUGUGGCUCCACAUGCUGGACAUUACAGUACAUGACAUCUCUGGAGUAACCUAAUGUUUAAUGACUGACUCCCCACACUCUAAUAUAAAGUGUAUUUUGUUGCCAUCUACUGGAUGGAGUGAAGUAGUAGUAAGUGCUUGAUACUUUUGUUAACAUAAUAAUCUAAACCAGGGGAGGGGUUCUACUAAACUAUGGGCCGGUCUCCCAGACAGGGUUUAGAUUAAGCUAGUGUAACGGAUGUGAAAUGGCUAGCCAGUUAGCGGGUACGCGCUAGUAGCAUUUCAAUCAGUUACGUCACUUGCUCUGAGACUUUAAGUAGGGUUGCCCCUUGCUCUGCAAGGGCCGCGGCUUUUGUGGAGCGAUGGGUAACGAUGCUUCGUGGGCAACCGUUGUUGAUGUGUGCAGAGGGUCCCUGGUUCGCACCCGUGUCGGGGCGAGGGGACGCCGUAAAGUUAUACUGUUACAUUGAUGCUGUUGACCCGGAUCACUGGUUGCUGCGGAAAAGGAGGAGGUUGAAAAGGGGGUGAGUGUAACGGAUGUGAAAUGGCUAGCUAGUUAGCGGGUACGCGCUAGUAGCAUUUCAAUCAGUUACGUCACUUGCUCUGAGACUUUAAGUAGGGUUGCCCCUUGCUCUGCAAGGGCCGCGGCUUUUGUGGAGCGAUGGGUAACAACGCAUCGUGGGUGUCAGUUGUUGAUGUGUGCAGAGGGUCCCUGGUUCGCGCCCGGGUCGGGGCGAGGGGAUGGUUUAAAGUUAUACUGUUACACUAGGAGUAGUCCUUAAUGUGUACUAUUUAAACUAGGACAUUUAAGUAGAUUUCAUGAACUUGGCUUAGUUAGUCGGAGACUAUGGAGUCCUCGAGUAAGGUAAGUAAACCUAAAUGAGAACACCUGGGUUAAACCUGAUUAUGUUAAGUACGAGCACAUGCUGUUGGUCUAAUGGUGCUCAUAAAAACCUGGACUGGAAUAGAAAACACCAUUACUGGUGUGAAUCUUGAGACAAUGGCAGAGGCAAAAAUAAUAAGUUGAAAAAACUUUAGUGAGUAUGAAAAAACGCUACUAAAACAGAAAAAGAGUGGUUGGGCUGCAAUUUGCAGUGAAUUCAAUGCAAAUGAAAAUGUAAACACAAGAAGAGUACAGCAACUUCAGGUAAAAUAUCUUCAUUAUAUCAGUAUUUCUCAUAUUCAUAUUUUUGUGACAUCACUUAUAUUUAAUGAUAUCUGCCUUUAUAGACUCUGUGGAAGAACCUUAAACUGGCUUUAAAAAAGAGAAUUAAGAGAUCAGAAGAGAGCGAUUUACUGGUGGUGGACCACCAAAAAAAGACAAAACUGAUGAAUUUAGUGACUUGCUGUCUGGAGUAAUAGGGCACCAGCAACCUCUGGAUGGUAUACCAGACGAUGACCAUUUGGACAGUUCAGAUGAAGAACUGAGCACAAAUGAGGAAGGGAAUCUGAACAGGUUGAAAGAGCCAGUGCACAGUGAGUGUGUACCCUCCAUCUGCUAUAGCAUCUCUGAGAGAAGAUGCUGCCACCACCUUUCAGCAGAGAACAAAAAAAAUGACCAUGCAUGAAAAGUUAGCCAGAGAAUUUCAUGAGCAUAAAAUUAAAUAUCUGAAGGAAGAACAUGAAAUGAAAAUAAGAAUUAUACAGGUUAAAUUGGAUAUGAAGUUGGAAGAGAGCAGUAUGAUCCAAAAAUUAUACAGUAAUGAGACAAUUAUGAUUAAAACAUUUUAUUUUUUGUCAUUUGGAUAUACAUGAGUGAGAAUAUUUUAAUCACCACAAACUACAUUUUAAACCAGCCUUGAUUUAGUCACUCAUUUAAUUUUGCUGCACACUAUUUGAAUUUUGUACAGAACCAACAUUAUCAAAGCAAAAAUAAGCCAUAAUGAAUACAUUCCAUAUUAAAAUGUAUCUCAUCUAGUUGACAUGCUGCAAUGUGAAAGCAACUCUGUGUGCAAGUCCUCUUUGGUCAUUGCCUGCCUCAGCCAUGGGCAUAUCUGCUUGAUCUUGACCUUCCAUCGGAGGACAGCAGUGCCGCUUCAGGUAGUUGUGCAGCACAGCUGUAGCAAUGACACCUUGCAGCAUCUUCUUGGCUUGAAACGAAGUGUAUUGCGUAAACAUUGGAAUCUAUUUUUCCAUACUCCAAACAUACGCUCAACCAUCGCUCUCGUGCGGAUAUGAGCUGUGUUGUAUCUUUGCUGCUCAGCUGUUGUGGGAUUUAUGUAUGGAGUGAAUAAAAAGUUACUCUGACCAUA